rnacentral:rRNA from 1 species
CAACCUCCCACCCGUGUCUAUCGUACCUUGUUGCUUCGGCGGGCCCGCCGUUUCGACGGCCGCCGGGGAGGCCUUGCGCCCCCGGGCCCGCGCCCGCCGAAGACCCCAACAUGAACGCUGUUCUGAAAGUAUGCAGUCUGAGUUGAUUAUCGUAAUCAGUUAAAACUUUCAACAACGGAUCUCUUGGUUCCGGCAUCGAUGAAGAACGCAGCGAAAUGCGAUAAGUAAUGUGAAUUGCAGAAUUCAGUGAAUCAUCGAGUCUUUGAACGCACAUUGCGCCCCCUGGUAUUCCGGGGGGCAUGCCUGUCCGAGCGUCAUUGCUGCCCUCAAGCACGGCUUGUGUGUUGGGCCCCCGUCCCCCUCUCCCGGGGGACGGGCCCGAAAGGCAGCGGCGGCACCGCGUCCGGUCCUCGAGCGUAUGGGGCUUUGUCACCUGCUCUGUAGGCCCGGCCGGCGCCAGCCGACACCCAACUUUAUUUUUCUAAGGUUGACCUCGGAUCAGGUAGGGAUACCCGCUGAACUUAAGCAUAUCAUAAGCGAAGGAA